CCAACCCCCCCCCUGCCCCCCCUCUCUCUUCCCCCUCCUUUCCUCGGCCAUCACUUCGCUGGCUACCCAUCUAUCUAACUCUCCAACCAACCAACCAACUGGCCUCCUCCUCCUUUUCAAGAUUCACUCGUUCCCGUGAAUCAGAAGUUGCUUCCAAACGUUAUUUCAUUGUUUUGGACUUCAAAAAUGUUUCAGCCUCUUUUGCCUAGCUCGUUUUCAAAUGUGGCAGGCACUCCAGAUGGAUCUGCAAAAGCAAGUUCUCUUAUGCUUGUGCACUGAGGUGUGAAGUGAAUAAAUUGUGGUUUAGUCAGCAAGAUCCGAGUUUGAAAACCUGUAAGUCCGGCCCUGUGUUUUGUGCAGGGAUAGCCAACCACGUGCCAAAUAGUCUGGACUACAACUCCCACAAUCCCCGGCCAGGCUGACCCGCAGUAAGGAGAGGUACGAUCUAUCAUCUGGUAUGAAGCCGAAGUUUACGUGGCCUUUAGCGUAUUCAGAGGACAGCCGGAAUGGCUACCAUACCAAAUGGGCGAAAAUGCCUCAAGCACAAUAAAAUAAGUCCUUUAUUAUCCUUUACUACAAAUAAAGUCGACCACCCGUCACUGUCUGUGGCUUCCUACAUAAGUACCUUCGCCUGAAAUCAAGCCUAAUUAAAAUGCCCCUAAAUCCUCUGCGUUUAUUCAGGAGUGGCCCUGAAUUCCAGAGGAUCGUUUCCCGAGAUAAGUACCAAUCGCAAUUUUCAUGGGGUAGGUAGGUGGUUACUGCCUGGCUGGAAAACUUAAACAAUAUCCUAUAAAAGCAGAAUCCUUUUUACUGAAGGGCAUUACUUGGCAACGGUGUGGAUGAGGGAGAUCCGCUGGCACUUUAUCAUUACAACCGAACCAGUUACACCUUUUGGUUAAUUUUAAAGUAAUUUUAGCUGCAAUUCUCUUUGGUCGAGGGAAGUUUUUGGAUCGAAGCCGUUUUAUAUUUCCACAAGGGUACUUUAGCACAGGGGUCUCCAACCUUGGCAACUUUAAGCCUGGAGGACUUCAACUCCCAGAAUUCCCCAGCCAGCAAAGAGCUGAAGACCCCUGCUAUGGCAGACUGCUUCAUCCGCUGUCUCCGGCUAACCGGGAAUGCUGGGAAAUGUAGUCUGAGCAUAUCUGGAGGCCAAUGGAUUGAGGAAAGCCCUUCCUAAGAAAUGAAUAUGCCUUUCCCAUAUAAAUCAGCCUAAGGCUGCAACUUGAAGCAACCCUAGGGCUGCCUGCUCCGAAAUUCCCCACAAGAGAACUCGCAGCUUUGCCGGAGGCUGAAGUCCCAGACAAGUUGACCUAGGGGCAGGCCCGCUUAAACCCAAAGCCACUUCCAUUCAAUACCGGCUACCCUCCGACCUUCUGGACUCCGGCUGAGUUUACAUCUGGACAAGUGGGUGAUUAGUGCGCAUU